GGCCAGACUCCUACGGGAGGCAGCAGUGGGGAAUAUUGCACAAUGGGGGAAACCCUGAUGCAGCGACGCCGCGUGAGUGAAGAAGUAUUUCGGUAUGUAAAGCUCUAUCAGCAGGGAAGAAAAUGACGGUACCUGACUAAGAAGCCCCGGCUAACUACGUGCCAGCAGCCGCGGUAAUACGUAGGGGGCAAGCGUUAUCCGGAUUUACUGGGUGUAAAGGGAGCGUAGACGGCAUGGCAAGUCAGAUGUGAAAGCCCGGGGCUCAACCCCGGGACUGCCCUUGGAACUGCAUGGCUGGAGUGCGGGAGGGGCAGGCGGAAUUCCUGGUGUAGCGGUGAAGUGCGUAGAUAUUAGGAGGAACACCAGUGGCGAAGGCGGCUUGCUGGGCGAUGACUGACGUUGAGGCUCGAAAGCGUGGGGAGCAAACAGGAUUAGAUACCCGAGUAU
rnacentral:rRNA from 1 species